AAAAAAAAAAAAAAAAAGAGAGAUUGAUAAUGGUGAUGUGGAGGUUCCUGGAGGGUUGGAUUUUGUGGUUAACCAGUGCAUCUUGGUACUGUCAUCAUAGGACUUCCUUUGACGAGAGGAAGAUUAGCAUUCGGAUCAGACACACGCUGCACGUACAAAAAUGGGGCAUUGGUGACGAUAAAUUCAGGGGCACAAAUGUCUUCAAAAGAGCCAGGGUUUUUGAAUCAAAAAAUUAAAGAAAGCCAGGACCAAAUACUCCUGCUGAAGUUACAAUUCCAUAGUGUUUGACACGUACUGUCUUGAUCUUCUUCACAAAUGCAGCAUCUAGAGACAAUUUCAUAACCCCUCUUUUUCAUUUCCUCAUCAUCCAUAUAGACUCCCUGCUGCAGUUUCCAAAUAUUGCUAGCAAUGCAAGAAUGGUUUCCAAAUAUGAGCUGGCCAUGGAUUUUCUUAGGUGUCAUCGAGGAUGGUGAAACAAGAUUUUUUCAUCACAGGACAUACUCAGGAUAUCCAAAUUUUUAUGAGUCUCGCGGGUAUUUGUUGGAUGGAUCUUCUUAUGGUGACACAGUGGCUUACCUAGCACGAUUUUAUGAUCCUAACAUGGAAGACGUUGAAGUACUACGAUUGCUGAAACAUUGCGUCAACCUCACUGCAGGGAGGGCAAUAAGUGACUCUAUAGAAGAUGCCCAAAAGGGAAAAUUUCAUUCCCCCUAUGUUGGAGGGUGGGUUCUUGCAUCCAUCAUCCAAGAUGGCAUGCCAUACCGCCAUUAUGAUUUGGGACAAUGUGUCCCAACUCUCUUAUAGCUUGAU